rnacentral:lncRNA from 1 species
CUCCUGCUUUCAAUAAAAAAAACAAAUAGUUAGAAUAGUUAAACGAAUAAUACAAACUGAUAGUUCAUGCAAGGUAAGAGCUUCCGUAGCUUGUUAGUUGGUCUAACGAAUACUUGAACCCCUGUUUAUACCUUUGUUAACACUCCAAUUGCAUUAUAUGCAAUUGAAUACAAUUAAUUUAAAGAAACUCUAAGCAUUAUUGGCUAAGAUAAAAACUGUGAACAAACAUGAAUUUAAAUUCGACUCAACAAGCAUUAAGAAAUCCUAAUGACCAUCACGCUGAGGAGGAGAGAAGUGUGCAAAGAAAAGAAGAGAAUACCUGGGCUUCUGAGGCAUAGAGAUAUUUUCAACUGCUGGAACAAAAAUGGUUUCACAAUUGAUUAUACAAUGACAAUAUAAUUCCUUCUGAACACAUAAUUCAGGACUUUAAAUUGAGGAAAAAUUGACGUAGGUUUAGGAAUUACCUCUUAAUAUGAAAUAUGCUGGAGUCUAAAGUUUGAGCUUCUUCCAAAGUAACUAUCACCAAACUUAAAAAAGAACUCUCCUAAAAUAAUAACACAAUCUAAAAGAACAAUCAAAUAUGUUGACAGAGAAGUCAUCUCUUGUUUGAGUUCUAUAAUGUUCACUUUGUAGUUAUAAACAAAAGAUAAGUUUUCCAUGAAGAUAUUUAAUUGUUCUUUCAAAUUAUGGUAAUCUUUCAGGAGAGUUCUUUCUAAAUUUAGUGAUAAAUGCUUUGGAAGAAGCUCAAGUAUUAUCAUUCAUAUUUGACUCUUUAGAUAUACCUGUAGAAAAAUGUGGAGCUUCAUGAAGUAAGUAGAAGUGUAAGAAUUAAAGCGCAUUUGAAGUGGAGAUACAGGAAAAAAACCAAUUAUAUAUUAGAGCAUACAUGAAGUAAGAAUAAACAUUUUUAGUGGCACGAAGGUAUACCCUUGAAAGCUAAAUGUAGGCGCACCGAAAGAAAUACCUAAAAAUUGAGUUAGGCGGAAAUACUAUUCAUAUAGACUCAUAGU